rnacentral:lncRNA from 1 species
UCGAUUUUGUUUGCUUUUAAUUGAUUAUGAAUUUAUGGGUUGCUUAAUUUUUAAUAUGGUUGUUUGUAUAAUAUGAUUAAAAUCAAUGUUUGUGUUUGCCUAUUAUUCGUUUAAUUGCUUCUAGUUUAAGUUUAAAAUUGUUAUUUGUCUUUUACAUUAUAUGUAUCGUUAUUCAAUCAUGUUCCUUUUGUAAGCGUCGAAUUUUAUUAAAGCUUCAUGAUCGUUUUGUUCCAUAAUCCUUAAAAAGGCUUGGCGUUCAUAGGUUCUCG